rnacentral:rRNA from 1 species
UGCCAGCCUCCGCUGUACUCCUGAUUUGGCUAUCGUUGUUCGUAAUUACUGGGCGUAAAGCGCACGUAGGCGGACUAUUAAGUCAGGGGUGAAAUCCCGGGGCUCAACCCCGGAACUGCCUCUGAUACUGGUAGUCUUGAGUUCGAGAGAGGUGAGUGGAAUUCCGAGUGUAGAGGUGAAAUUCGUAGAUAUUCGGAGGAACACCGAUGGCGAAGGCGGCUAACUGGCUCGGUACUGACGCUGAGAUGCGAAAGCGUGGGGAGCAAACAGGAUUAGAUA